rnacentral:rRNA from 1 species
GGUAAUACGGAGGGGCAAGCGUUACCCGGAUUUACUGGGUGUAAAGGGUCCGCAGGCGGUUAAGCAAGUCAGUUUUUAAAUACUCUGGCUCAACCAGAGAAUUGGAACAGAUACUGCUUAACUAUGAGUCUAGAGGGGGAAAACGGAACUGCCGGUGUAGCGGUGAAAUGCGUAGAUAUCGGCAGGAACACCUGUGGCGAAGGCGGUUUUCUACUCUGGUACUGACGCUCAUGGACGAAAGCGUGGGGAGCGAUCGGGAUUAGAUACCCCGGUAGUCCACGCCGUAAACGAUGGGUGCUGGGUGUCGGUCCGGUAAAACGGAUCGGUGCCGAAGUUAACACGUUAAGCACCCCACCUGGGGACUACGGCCGCAAGGUUGAAACCCAAAGGAAUUGACGGGGGCCCGCACAACCGGUGGAACAUGUGGUUUAAUUCGAUGAUACGCGAAAAACCUUACCUGGGCUUGACAUGCUGGUAGUAGAACCCCGAAAGGGGAACGAUUUGCCGCAAGGCAGAAGCCAGUACAGGUGGUGCAUGGCUGUCGUCAGCUCGUGCCGUGAGGUGUUGGGUUAAGUCCUUGAACGAGCGCAACCCCUGCCUGUAGUUACUCGCCUGCAAAGGCAGCACUCUACAGGGACUGCCGUGGUUAACACGGAGGAAGGUGGGGAUGACGUCAAGUCAGCACGCCCCUUAUGUCCAGGGCUACACACGUGUUACAAUGGUCGGUACAGAGGGAAGCAAAGCCGUAAGGUGAAGCAAAUCCCAGAAAGCCGGCCUCAGUUCGGAUUGCAGGCUGCAACCUGCCUGCAUGAAGCUGGAAUCGGUAGUAAUCGCGGAUCAGAAACGCCGCGGUGAAUACGUUCUCGGGCCUUGCACACACCGCCCGU